rnacentral:piRNA from 1 species
UGGUAGAAUUCAGUUGUUUUUGUUUUUGUU